CACGCCGUAAACGAUGAGUGCUAGGUGUCGGGGGUCAAACCUCGGUGCCGGAGCUAACGCAUUAAGCACUCCGCCUGGGGAGUACGUACGCAAGUAUGAAACUCAAAGGAAUUGACGGGGACCCGCACAAGCAGCGGAGCAUGUGGUUUAAUUCGAAGCAACGCGAAGAACCUUACCAGGACUUGACAUGGUAUUGACCAGUCUAGAGAUAGACUCUUCCCUUCGGGGACAAUACACACAGGUGG
rnacentral:rRNA from 1 species